AUUGAACGCUGGUGGCAGGCCUAACACAUGCAAGUCGAGCGCGCGGCGGACGGGUGCGUAAUGUAUCGGAACGUGCCCAGUAGCGGGGGAUCACUACUCGAAAGAGUGGCUAAUACCGCAUACUCUUGGAGCGGCCGAUAUCGGAUUAGAUGGUUGGUGGGGUAAAGGCUCACCAAGGCAACGAUCCGUAGCUGGUUUGAGAGGACGACCAGCCACACUGGGACUGAGACACGGCCCAGACUCCUACGGGAGGCAGCAGUGGGGAAUUUUGGACAAUGGGGGAAACCCUGAUCCAGCCAUCCCGCGUGUAUGAGAAGGCCUUCGGGUUGUAAAGUACUUUUGGCAGAGAAGCGGUAUCUGCAGAAUAAGCACCGGCUAACUACGUGCCAGCCGCCGCGGUAAUUC
rnacentral:rRNA from 1 species